rnacentral:rRNA from 1 species
UGAGGAAUAUUGGUCAAUGGGCGAGAGCCUGAACCAGCCAUGCCGCGUGAAGGAUGAAGGCGUUCUGCGUUGUAAACUUCUUUUAUUGGGGAAGAAACCUGGAUUUUCUAAUUCAGCCGACGGUACCCAAGGAAUAAGCACCGGCUAACUCCGUGCCAGCAGCCGCGGUAAUACGGAGGGUGCAAGCGUUAUCCGGAUUUACUGGGUUUAAAGGGUGCGUAGGCGGACUUUUAAGUCAGGGGUGAAAUCCCGGGGCUCAACCCCGGAACUGCCUUUGAUACUAUUGGUCUUGAAUGUUGUGGAGGUGGGCGGAACGGGUCAUGUAGCGGUGAAAUGCAUAGAUAUGACCCGGAACACCGAUUGCGAAGGCAGCCCGCUACGCAACGAUUGACGCUGAGGCACGAAAGCGUGGGGAUCAAACAG